AAGCUAUAUCAGUGUUUGAUGCUCAAGUCCAUUACCUACAUGUACAGGUGUCAGGAGCUUUGCUAUUAAUUUUAAAAUUGACUUGUCUUUUCACUGAUCUUCUAUUGAGAGGACUUCAAAUACUGUCGGAUUUUCAUUUACUCUCCCACGCUGCCUUUGCUUUCCGAAGUAUUUUUCCAGUGGAUCCUGCUGGAUUCUUUUGCUGAGAAAUGAAGUGACUAAUUCAAUGAAAGAGUGUACUACAUGAUGAAUGACAAAUAAAAAUUCUAUUUAAUACUAUUAAUUUUCCAUACCUACAAUACAUAUUCCCUGUAAUGUCUAAGUUGUCUUCUCUCUUUUUUAUAUGCAUCAAGAUCUUCUCUGCUUUAAACUUGUUCUUUCCAUUCAUCCAACCAGUUUAGAAAAUUAUCUUUCAACAACAAGAAAUGGAUACUUAAAUGGCUUUUUGGAUAGAAUACCACUUGAAUAGUUGCUCACAUUAAGGGCAUCAAAAAACUUAUCAAACAUCUCAACAAAGUGAGCAGUUUGUGCUGCUUCUCUUCCAAGACCCAUCCUCUCAAGUCAAAAAGUUGCCUCCAUUACAAUCGAUUCAAGUUUUUAUCCUGUCAAAUGGCUUGAGGGAAAACUGGCAUAUGGAAAAUUGAGAGACCACGAAACAUAACAGUUAACAUUGAAGUAGCGAUCUCAAUUUCUUUUGUGUGAAGCUGUUUAAGAAUAUUGUUCACAUUACCCAGAGUACAAUAUUGGAUUAACUCUCUAGUUGUAUGUGGACAUCAUUUUGAAAUCCUGGUUUGUUAUCUUAUAAUGAGUGUAGUCUCUCAGGAUUCUGCCAGAUGGGAGUACAGUGAAACCCAAAUUGCGAAGGUCAUUUGAACUUGUAGAUGAUGCAUAUAUAAACACCAUUUAACGAGAAGUGGAUGCUAUCGUCUACCAUUAGCAAUUGAAGUUUGGUUUUUCAAUUGUUCCUGCCAAAAGGUCUGGCCAAAUGUCUUUAUACUACCAUCUUUUUUUUAUUUUCAAUAAUGGUGAGUAAUGUAGAGUGCAUUUCAUCAUCUAAUGCAAUGUAGGAAUUGUGCAUAUUUGUUGAUAAUGGAAAUGUUGAUGAUGAAAAAGCAGAAGAGGGAGGAGAUAAAGCAAAAGAGGGAGAAGAUAGUUACAG